AUGUAGUGUGACAUGCCCGUUUGGGUUAUUACUCCGAUGCAAUAUCUAUUGAUUUUGGGAACGGGGUGUUACAUUCAA
rnacentral:pre_miRNA from 1 species